GAUGAAGAACGUAGCGAAAUGCGAUAAGUAAUGUGAAUUGCAGAAUUCAGUGAAUCAUCGAAUCUUUGAACGCACAUUGCGCCCCCUGGUAUUCCGGGGGGCAUGCCUGUUCAAGCGUCAUUUCACCACUCAAGCCUCGCUUGGUAUUGGGCAACGCGGUCCGCCGCGUGCCUCAAAUCGACCGGCUGGGUCUUCUGUCCCCUAAGCGUUGUGGAAACUAUUCGCUAAAGGGUGUUCGGGAGGCUACGCCGUAAAACAACCCCAUUUCUAAGGUUGACCUCGGAUCAGGUAGGGAUACCCGCUGAACUUAAGCAUAUCAAUAAGCGGAGGA
rnacentral:misc_RNA from 1 species